rnacentral:piRNA from 1 species
UAAACCCAUGCAUUGCACCUGCUACGCAGA